GAUGAAGAACGCAGCGAAAUGCGAUACUUGGUGUGAAUUGCAGAAUCCCGUGAACCAUCGAGUCUUUGAACGCAAGUUGCGCCCGAAGCCAUCAGGUUGAGGGCACGUCUGCCUGGGCGUCACAUAUCGUUGCCCAAUGCCUAUUGCAGUGCAAUAGGAAUUUCUAGGGCGAAUGAUGGCUUCCCGUGAGCGUUGUUGCCUCGCGGUUGGUUGAAAAUCGAGUCCUUGGUAGGGUGUGCCAUGGUAGAUGGUGGUCGAGUUAGAACGAUACCGAUCAUGUGCAUGCUCCCCAAAAUAUGGCCUCUAUGACCCACACGCGUCUUUUGACGCUCAUGACGAGACCUCAGGUCAGGCGGGGCUACCCGCUGAAUUUAAGCAUAGCAAUAAGCGGAGGA
rnacentral:misc_RNA from 1 species